UACGGGGGGGGCAAGCGUUGUUCGGAAUUACUGGGCGUAAAGGGCUCGUAGGCGGCCAACUAAGUCAGACGUGAAAUCCCUCGGCUUAACCGGGGAACUGCGUCUGAUACUGGAUGGCUUGAGAUUGGGAGAGGGAUGCGGAAUUCCAGGUGUAGCGGUGAAAUGCGUAGAUAUCGAGAGGAACACCUGCGGCGAAGGCGGGUUGCUGGGCUGACACUGACGCUGAAGCGCGAAAGCUAGGGGAGCGAACGGG
rnacentral:rRNA from 1 species